CCUGUGAAGUGUUCGGAUCGAGGCGACGUGGGCGGUUCGCCGCCGACGACGUCGCGAGAAGUCCACUGAACCUUAUCAUUUAGAGGAAGGAGAAGUCGUAACAAGGUUUCCGUAGGUGAACCUGCGGAAGGAUCAUUG
rnacentral:rRNA from 1 species